AGCGAACGCUGGCGGCAGGCUUAACACAUGCAAGUCGAGCGGGCACUUUCGGGUGUCAGCGGCGGACGGGUGAGUAACGCGUGGGAACGUGCCCUCUGGUUCGGAAUAACUCAGGGAAACUUGAGCUAAUACCGGAUACGCCCUUUUGGGGAAAGGCUUGCUGCCGGAGGAUCGGCCCGCGUCUGAUUAGCUAGUUGGUGAGGUAACGGCUCACCAAGGCGACGAUCAGUAGCUGGUCUGAGAGGAUGAUCAGCCACACUGGGACUGAGACACGGCCCAGACUCCUACGGGAGGCAGCAGUGGGGAAUAUUGGACAAUGGGCGCAAGCCUGAUCCAGCCAUGCCGCGUGAGUGAUCAAGGCCUUAGGGUUGUAAAGCUCUUUUAUCCGGGACGAUAAUGACGGUACCGGAGGAAUAAGCCCCGGCCAACUUCGUG
rnacentral:rRNA from 1 species